GUGAACGCUGGCGGUAGGCCUAACACAUGCAAGUCGAACGGCAGCACAGUAAGAGCUUGCUCUUACGGGUGGCGAGUGGCGGACGGGUGAGGAAUACAUCGGAAUCUACUUUUUCGUGGGGGAUAACGUAGGGAAACUUACGCUAAUACCGCAUACGACCUACGGGUGAAAGCAGGGGAUCUUCGGACCUUGCGCGAUUGAAUGAGCCGAUGUCGGAUUAGCUAGUUGGCGGGGUAAAGGCCCACCAAGGCGACGAUCCGUAGCUGGUCUGAGAGGAUGAUCAGCCACAUUGGAACUGAGACACGGUCCAGACUCCUACGGGAGGCAGCAGUGGGGAAUAUUGGACAAUGGGCGCAAGCCUGAUCCAGCCAUACCGCGUGGGUGAAGAAGGCCUUCGGGUUGUAAAGCCCUUUUGUUGGGAAAGAAAAGCAGCAGGUUAAUACCCCGCUGUUCUGACGGUACCCAAAGAAUAAGCACCGGCUAACUUCGUG
rnacentral:rRNA from 1 species